rnacentral:rRNA from 1 species
AACGAACGCUGGCGGCGCGCCUAAUACAUGCAAGUCGAGCGAGAAGACGUAGCAAUACGUUUGUAAAGCGGCGAACGGGUGAGGAAUACAUGGGUAACCUACCCUAGAGUGGGGAAUAACUAGCCGAAAGGUUAGCUAAUACCGCGUACGCUCCUUGGACUUCGGUUCAGGGAGGAAAGCGAUACCGUGGGUAUCGCGCUCUUGGAUGGGCUCAUGUCCUAUCAGCUUGUUGGGAGGUAACGGCUCACCAAGGCUUCGACGGGUAGCUGGUCUGAGAGGACGAUCAGCCACACUGGCACUGCGACACGGGCCAGACUCCUACGGGAGGCAGCAGUAAGGAAUAUUGCGCAAUGGGCGAAAGCCUGACGCAGCGACGCCGCGUGGGGGA